CCAGCCUGUUCUACCGCCGGGUCAGCCGCCACCUUGCCCGGCUGGCCUGGUCUUCCUCCCGAUCGAGGCCGCCGCGAGCAGUACAUGGGUCAUGGACUCAUGGGGUCGUGCUGGUCCGACGGCAAGGUACUCAAGGCAAACGUGAUUGUGUGAACUGUGAAGUCACGGAAGCAAAAAAAAAAAAGGGAGAAUUGGAAACAGAUUGAUAUUCCUGGGCGCUACUCGCCUGAAUUGCUCGAUUGUUUGGGCUCCUGCAAAGCAGAGGAAAUACUCGUGGAAGGGAACCAACUGCUCGUAUUCAGCUACGAUCAAGAAUCAACUACCAUGUUCAAUCUUUAUGGGACAAGUCCGGAUAUUAUUGGUUGCGGCUACCGGUGUAAAGGAUAUAAUAUUUUCCCCGACCUAAUCGC
rnacentral:lncRNA from 1 species